rnacentral:lncRNA from 1 species
GAUGCCACGCAUGACUAGUCUUACCAUUGCGAAAGUUUUGUGUCCAUCUGUACAUAGCUGUAAAUUAUCGUUGACAAGCUGUGUCAUCCGAACAAGUCAGUAAUAGAUUGAUGGUUGUCCAUGGUCGGCUUAUCCGUAUAACAUAAAUGUCCUGCGACAGCCCUGCACAGCCGAUUGUGUAGAUCAGGUCAAGGUGCAAGAUACAAAGAGCAGUGUUUCAAGACCUAUGCUGUCGUGGCUCGAAGACUAUCUGGUACCAGUAUUCACUAAGUAGGCAUGGAAUUCUCUCGCUAUCUUUGGUGAAAGAAGCAUGUCAAAGGAUGAAGUGGAGAACUUGAGACUCUACUAGCAUAAGCCUACUAGGUAUGAGACAUCCCCAAUUAUGGAAAGUUACGACAGCAGUUGAUAAUCAGAGGCAGUUCAACAUAUGAGGCUGCAUCACCAAGCAUCAAAUCGGAUUUAAAUAACCCAUAUCUUGUGAAAUCUAAUGAAUCUUAUCAUUUAUACACUAAAAUUCAAUAAUAAAGACAAUUGUUUAUGGAAA